rnacentral:rRNA from 1 species
AGUGAACGCUGGCGGCGUGCUUAACACAUGCAAGUCGAACGGGCAAGAGCCGUAGCAAUACGGAGUUCUGCUAGUGGCAAACGGGUGAGUAAUACAUGGGAAUCUACCUGGGAGUCUGGGAUAACAGUGGGAAACGACUGCUACUACCGGAUAUAACCGAGAGGUAAAAGAUUUAUCGCUCUAAGAUGAGCCCAUGGAGGAUUAGAUAGUUUGUAGGGGAAAGGCCUACCAAGGAGACGAUCCUUAGCUGGGCUGAGAGGAUGAUCAGCCACACUGGAACUGAGACACGGUCCAGACUGCUACGGGAGGCAGCAGUGGGGAAUAUUGGACAAUGGGCGAAAGCCUGAUCCAGAGACGCCGCGUGGGUGAUGAAGGCCUUCUGGUUGUAAAGCCCUUUCAGUGGGAAAGAUAAUGACGGUACCCACAGAAGAAGCUCCGGCAAACUUCGUGCCAGCCGCCGCAGUAA